UGCGAGGGGCGGGGCUCAGGGCGUGGCUUGGCGAGGUGCUGGGCGGAGCCGAGCGCUGAGGAGACCGAGCGCCGGGCGUCCGUUACAGGUGCCCGGGAGGAGUGACGGGGGCGCCUCCUCAGCGCUGGGUGCGGCGAGGGCGCCGGCGCCUCGGGAGCCUUAGGUGAAGACGCCAAAGAGAGCGCGAGACGUCGGCGGGGAGCUGCCUCGGCUCAGGUUGAUAUUGGAAGUUUUCUGGUUAUUAGAAAUUGAAUGUAAUGGCAGCAGAAUUUAUAAAGAGUUGCUGUAGAGGAUGUUUCUAUGGUGAAACAGAAAAGCACAAGUUUUCUGUGGAAAGGGACUUUAAAGCAUCAGUCUCAAAUAGCCAAAACACCAUCUGUACACCUCCAUUAACUUCUGUUUCAGUAAAGCCCCAAGUUGGCUGUAGUGAGGAUUAUUUGCUUUCCAAAUUACCGUGCGAUGGCAAAGAAGUACCAUUUGUGGUGCCCAGGUUUAAAUUAUCUUAUAUUCAGCCCAGAACACAAGGAACUCCAUCACACCUGGAUGAACUAGAAGGAUCUGCCAGAGCAUCUUUUGGAGAUCAAAAGGCAGAACUUUGCAGUUCAUUCUACCAUGGACCCAGCUAUGAUGUGUAUAAUCCAUGCUAUAUGUAUCAGCACUUUUCACCUGAUUUAAGUAGACGCUUUCCUCCUCAUUUUGAAACAACAAAAAAGUAUGGAUCUGUUUGUGAUUUAAGGACCAGUAAACUUCCUGGUUCCCCCGGGCUAAGCAAAUCUAUGUUUGAUCUUACAACUUCACCUCAACGAUUCAUCCAGAGACAUGACUCAUUGUCCAGUGUGCCUAGUAGUUCUUCUUCAAGGAAAAAUUCUCAGGGCAGUAACAGAAGUCUGGAUACAAUUACCCUAUCAGGAGAUGAAAGAGACUUGGGGAGAUUGAAUGUGAAAUUGUUUUAUAAUUCUUCAGCAGAGCAGAUCUGGAUCACAGUUUUGCAGUGCAGAGAUAUAAUUUGGCCCUCUAGUUGUGGAGAUACUCCCACAAUUUCUAUAAAAGGAAUUUUAACUUUGUCCAAACCAGUGCAUUUCAAAUCUUCAGCAAAAGAAGGUUCCAAUGCUAUUGAAUUUAUGGAAACUUUUGUAUUUGCUAUUAAACUACAAAGUCUACAAACUGUGAGGCUUGUAUUUAAGAUUCAAACCCAGACUCCCAGGAAGAAAACCAUUGGAGAAUGUUCUCUGUCACUCAGAACUCUCAGUACACAGGAAAUGGAUUACUCGUUGGAAAUAAUACCACCUUCAAAAAUUUCCGUUUGCCAUUCAGAACUUGAACUGGGCACUUGUUUUCAAGCAGUAAAUAGCAGGAUUCAGCUGCAAAUUCUUGAGGCACAGUACCUUCCAAGUUCAUCAACACCUCUGACUUUGAGUUUUUUUGUGAAGGUGGGGAUGUUUAGCUCAGGAGAGCUGAUUUAUAAAAAGAAGACACGCUUAUUGAAGGCAUCCAGUGGAAGAGUAAAAUGGGGAGAAACUAUGAUUUUUCCACUUACGCAGACUGAAAAAGAAAUUCUUUUCCUCAUUAAACUUUAUAGUCGAAGUUCUGUAAGAAGAAAACAUUUUGUAGGCCAGCUCUGGAUAAGUGAAGACAGUAAUAAUGUUGAAGCAGUGAACCAAUGGAAAGAGACAAUUACAAAUCCAGAAAAGGUUGUUAUCAAGUGGCACAAGUUAAAUCCAUCUUGAAGACUUCAGACAUUAAUUUAGUGAAGAAACAACUUGAUAGUCUUUUAGAAGAAACAUAAUUUCAGUUUUCUAAAGAUUGUAAUGCAUUCUAUCAGGAAGUUUGAAGCCAUCAGCAGUUCCAGUGGCAAUUUCAGGUGCAGUUGGGAAUUCAGGAAUCUCGAUGGAGCUGUUAGUGUAGCAGACCUUGUAGGUAAAAUAUAUGCAUCUUUCAAUAGCACAUGUGAAGGACUUUCUCUAAAAUUGACCUCAUUGGUUUCAUUCUCAGCAAACUGACCUGGUCCACUCAACAUGGCCUUUAUUUUUUGUGAUAUUAGUGCAUGUUCUAUUUUUACGAUGAAUUUAUUACCACCCGAAGGUAUUAAUUUGAUAUACAUGGCAUUAAGGCCUUCACAGCCACAGUAGGUUUUCUCCUCCAUCCAUUAUGUUAUUAUAAAAUGUUAUUAUAUUAUUAUAAAAUAUUACUUUGAUCCCAUAGGAACUUUGUUAGUUUCCCAUACACAUUCUGAGGCACUGGAAGGAAUAGCUUCUGCCAGAUUACAGCUGCUUUCUGCAACAGGAGGGAGAUUAGUCAACAAUGUCUUUAUAAAAUCUUAGAUAUCAAAGAAAGUUACAGCUUAUGUCAAAACAUUAUUUGGCAUUCAUUUAGUUUUGCAUAAUUUUUAAAGCAGGAAUCAUAAAAAUGACUCAAGUGUAUUAAUGUCAACUCUUCCCAGACUGUUGAGAAGAAACCAUUGGGAUUUCUGAACAUAUGUAAUUGUGGUCUAAAAGUAAACUAACCUGAAGUUUUCUUUGAAUAUAUUUUUGCAAAUUUCUUUGAUACUAAUAAACUCAUCAGCCAGUUAGAAAUCAUUUUCCAGCAAAAAUUUUCAUUGUUUAUAUGUUCAAAUAUUUGCACAUGUAUGAAAGA